UGCUGGAAAUUUUUUAAUUUGUUUAAUAGAAACUUUAUUAUUUUAACUGUAACUAUCUAAGUAAGUUUUCAAACAGUUUCACCAUAUUUUGAGUUAAAUCAGUCACGGAAAGUUCAUUUCAUUACCAAAGGAAAUAGUGAUUGAAAUACUUCUUUAAAGUAUUUCAUGUACCAGACAUAACAUUAGGCUCUGGAUAUCUAGUGGGAGAUGAGUACAAGCAUAUCGUUAUUUGCCUUAAGUCAGCAGUUAAAUUUUUUCAGUGAGUUUUUUAAAUGAUCUUGUAUUGGAAAAAGAGGCUGCAUUAACUAUCUAUUGGAAUGGUAUAUGUUUUCAUAGAAAGGAGCUAUGUGAAGGGGAUAGAUAAAUCUUUGUCAGGUACCAGUUCUUAAAUUAAUGUAUUAAUAUUUGAUUUGAUUUUUAUAACCCCUUUCAUUGUUAUAAA
rnacentral:lncRNA from 1 species